ensembl:lncRNA
GAUAGGUGGGAUGGACUGAGAGGUUGAGGGGUGGUCUAUGGUGAUAGGUGGGAUGGGCUGAGAGGUUGAGGGGUGGGAUUAAAGAGCUGAGGUCUAUGGUGAUAGGUGGGAUGGGCUGAGAGUGGCUGAGGGGUGGUCUAUGGUGAUAGGUGGGAUGGACUGAGAGGUUGAGGGGUGGUCUAUGGUGAUAGGUGGGAUGGGCUGAGAGGUUGAGGGGUGGGAUUAAAGAGCUGAGGUCUAUGGUGAUAGGUGGGAUGGGCUGAGAGUGGCUGAGGGAAGGGUUUAAAGUGCAGAGGUCUAUGGUGAUAGGUGGGAUGGGCUGAGAGUGGCUGAGCGUUGGGAUUAAAGAGCUGAGGUCUAUGGUGAUAGGUGGGAUGGGCUGAGAGUGGCUGAGCGUUGGGAUUAAAGAGCUGAGGUCUAUGGUGAUUAGGUGGGAUGGGCUGAGAGUGGCUGAGCGUUGGGAUUAAAGAGCUGAGGUCUAUGGUGAUAGGUGGGAUGGGCUGAGAGUGGCUGAGCGGUGGUCUAUGGUGAUAGGUGGGAUGGGCUGAGAGUGGCUGAGCGUUGGGAUUAAAGAGCUGAGGUCUAUGGUGAUAGGUGGGAUGGGCUGAGAGUGGCUGAGGGGUGGUCUAUGGUGAUAGAUGGGAUGGGCUGAG